UACCAGCACCCCGAGUGGUCGGGACGAUUAUUGGGCCUAAAGCAUCCGUAGCCGGCCUUACAAGUCCUCCGUUAAAUCCAGCUGCUUAACAGAUGGGCUGCGGAGGAUACUAUAAGACUAGGAGGCAGGAGAGGCAAGCGGUACUCAGUGGGUAGGGGUAAACUCCGUUGAUCCAUUGAAGACCACCAGUGGCGAAGGCGGCUUGCCAGAAUGCGCUCGACGGUGAGGGAUGAAAGCUGGGGGAGCAAACCGG
rnacentral:rRNA from 1 species